rnacentral:snoRNA from 1 species
GCAAUCGAGGAUGACGAGCUGAUCUCUUAUAUUCUUCAUGGGCUGGACAUGGACCACCAGCCCCUCGUCUCGGCCCUCGACGCAUGCGUCACGCCCGUCUCCCUCAACGAGCUCUUCGUCAUGCUGAGCAACUUCGACU